GACGUAGGGGGCCAGCGUUGCUCGGAAUUACUGGGUGUAAAGGGUUCGUAGGCGGUGUGGCAAGUCGGGAGUGAAAUCUCUGGGCUCAACCCAGAGUCUGCUUCCGAAACUGCUGUGCUUGAGUGUGGGAGAGGUGCGUGGAAUUCCCGGUGUAGCGGUGAAAUGCGUAGAUAUCGGAAGGAACACCUGUGGCGAAAGCGGCGCACGGGACCAUAUCUGACGCUGAGGCGCGAAAGCUAGGGGAGCAAACAGG
rnacentral:rRNA from 1 species